UACGAGUGGUGCGAGCGUUAUUCGGAAUUAUUGGGCGUACAGGGUGCGCAGGCGGUGUAUUAAGUCAGCUGUUAAAUACCUUAGCUUAACUGAGGAACAGCGGCAGAUACUGAUACGCUAGAGGAUGGAAGAGAGAAGUGGAAUUCUUGGAGUAGCGGUAAAAUGCGUAGAUCUCAAGAGGAACACCGAUGGCGAAGGCGGCAUCCUGGACCAACACUGACACUGAGGAGCGAAAGCCAGGGGAGCAAACGGG
rnacentral:rRNA from 1 species